rnacentral:lncRNA from 1 species
CUAGCUUACACAGCAGGAGUCAUCUAGAAAUUUUACUGCUGGUUGGUCCUAUUUGCAGGAAGCUGGAAUAUAUGCAGAAUUAAACAUUGGCCCUAAAUCCAGGAAGCAAAGUAAACCAGAAUGACAAUAAAAACUAGGGAGAAAACCUGACAACGAUUCAAAUGGAAUCUUACAACAGUGCAGCCAAGAUGCAAUGAGGACCUGAAUGAAGAGGCAGUUUAUAUGGAGAAGGGUCGCCCAACUUGAAAGAUAUACCUGA